rnacentral:rRNA from 1 species
GACGAACGCUGGCGGCGUGCUUAACACAUGCAAGUCGAACGGAAAGGCGCUGCUUUUGUUGGGUGCUCGAUUGGCGAACGGGUGAGUAACACGUGAGUAACCUGCCCUUGACUGUGGGAUAACACCAGGAAACUGGGGCUCAUACCGGAUAGGAGCUCCUGCUCCAUGGUGGUGGUUGGAAAGUUUCGGCGGUUGGGGAUGGACUCGCGGCUUAUGAGCUUGUUUGUGGGGUAGUGGCUUACCAAGGCUAUGACGGGUAGCCGGCCUGAGAGGGUGACCGGGCACAUGGGGACUGAGAUACGGACCAGUAUCCUACGGGAGGCAGCAGUGGGGAGUAUUACGCAGUGGGGCGGAGCCUGUUGCAGAGACGCCGCGUGCGGGAAGACGUCCUUCGGGGGAUAAACAGCUUUGGAAUGAAACGAGGAGUGAGUGACGGUAAUGGGUAAAAAAGCAACGGCUAACUACGUG